rnacentral:lncRNA from 1 species
CAAGUCAACCUGCACGCUUGUCAAAUGGAUAUGGACCUAAGAACACAAUGUCAACUCAAAGGCAUGCUGAAGGUAAGGUAAAUUCCAUGAGAAGGGAGGAUUUCUCGAAUACAGAAAGGGUUGUUUCACGUGACAAUGAGAGGAUGUAUGAAAGGGUUGUUUCACGUGACAAUGAGAGGAUGCAUAGUAUUGCAAGAAAUGGAUCCAACCAGGCAAGUACUAGCAAAACCACAAUCCAAAAGCAUCCAAGCAGGGGUCCCAUUGC